UAUUGCAACUCAAAAUGAAUUCAAAUCCUCUCAAGGUUUUUGUCUUUCUUCCCUUCUGCCAUCUUCAUUUUAUUUUUCACCUUUCUCUCUUGAAUUUCUCAUUUCUUCUAUUUUCUUCCCUUCUGCCAUCUUCAUUUUGUCUUCCUCCCCUUUAAUUUCUUCCUAAUUAGUAAUUAAUUAUUUGUUUUCCUCCUUGCUUAAACAAUCUUUCCCGUUGACUUGCCCAUUUCACCCCACUAUCCGUUCCGUUUCCGUUGGUAUAGGCCACUUCUUAUCAGCAAAGAAAGAAAGACAAACCCAAGGACGUAAACCGGCUGCCAUCUUUCCCGGUUGACUUGCCCAUUUCACCCCCACUAUCCGUUCCGUUGGUAUACGCCAACAAUUGUACAGAAGCCAUGUUUCCGACUUCUUAUCAGCAAAGAAAGAAAGACAAACCCAAGGACGUAAAGACUGCGUUGAGGAUAUGAAAUCUUGGCUUUUAUAUCUUCUGUUGAAGGAUCGGAAAUCUUGGCCUUUAUAUCCUCUGCUAUUCAAAUUGCCUAGGUCAGCACUUGAAGUUGCAAAGAAAAUGCUAACAAAACCUAGUCGCAACCCUGUGGCUGCAACAGUUGAAAAAGAAGCUGGAUGGCUACUUCUAUCCUCUCUAUUAUCUUCUAUGCCAAAGGAGGAGCUUCAAGACCAGGUUUUUGAUAUUCUCUCAUUAUGGGCUCCCCUCUUUGGUGGAAAUCCAGAACAAGAAAUUAAGCAAAUUGGGGAUUUGACACCAAGCAUUUGCUAAUCGAUCAAGGAUAGAGACUUCAAUUCCUCGAAAGCAUGGCCCUGCCAUUGCUGUUUAUGAGUCGGGAUUCUAAGGAUUCAUGAAUUUAUCAGAAGUGCUUUAAAACUCUAUGUUUUACAUUUCUUGUUCUCCUU